UGCUAGGCAGAUCUAGUUUAUGAGGUACCCCAGACCCAAAGGGCAUGGGAACUGUCCAGGAGUGGACCAGGCAAAGGGACCCAUGGCAAUCAGGACCACAUGGGUUCUGGGCACUGGUGAAAGGGAUGGGCUCUGCCUGACGCAUUUACUUUCUUCUCUGCAAAGUUUUCUUUUCCUGCAAAGAUCAUGAACAUGGCAGUGACUCAGUGCUGUCUAAUUUUACCUGUGUCCCUGGUGACCCUGUCUUCUCAUCAUGAGGACUCAAGGACCAGCCUCCCACCCACAGGUCAGAAAAGGUCAUCACUGGCCUCACUCAGAAGAUGAUGAGUCCAUUUUAAUAGGGUGCUCUCAUCUCUAGGUGAGUGUGGGAACACUGACAGAAAGGAAAAUAAUUGCGUUUUCUUCCAAAGCCGCCCGAAAUGGUUUCUACAGUAAUGGUGAAAACAGGACUCCUUGCAUCUCUGGACAUUUUGUUGCGCAGGCUGUAAUGAGCGAGAAAAAAUGUCUUGCUUUUAAUAGCUAUCCUCUGAUGCUUCGUGUGUGGGAAGGAGCUGUUCAGUGCCUGCUGUUUGCUCAGCCAGUCUCCAAUUAUUUUUUUGACAGGUGGCCCACUUGGGGAGCAACUGAAAGGACUGGCCUCUGAGACUACAAAUCAAGCUCUUUUCCCACGAAGUCUGUUUUAUUGUUGUGAAGGGGUUUCUGUGGAGUAGACCUGGAAGCCUUCACUGCACAGCUUCUUCAUUGACUCCUCCUCCAGAAUCCAGAAGCUUCAUUCCAACUAGAAGCUGCAGAGAGGUGGAGAGGCUUCAGUGGACACAGAUUUGAAGCCAUCAACUUCCCCAAAGGCCAACUGUGACUGAAGUCUGUUGCCAUACUGUUUAGCUGCUGAAGUAAUACUCACACAGUAUUCUGGGUAAUUUUUGUAGUGUGUGAGUGUGAAUAUGUGUG